UACGGGGGGAGCAAGCGUUGUUCGGAUUUACUGGGCGUAAAGGGCGCGUAGGCGGCGCAACAAGUCACUUGUGAAAUCUCCGGGCUUAACUCGGAGCGGCCAAGUGAUACUGUCGUGCUAGAGUGCGGAAGGGGCUACUGGAAUUCUCGGUGUAGCGGUGAAAUGCGUAGAUAUCGGGAAGAACACCUAUGGCGAAGGCAGCUCUCUGGGACGGUACUGACGCUGAGACGCGAAAGCGUGGGGAGCGAACAGG
rnacentral:rRNA from 1 species